CAAUGCUGUGUGUCUAGGGAGAACAGAACUGUAUAUCAGCUUUAAACUAAAAACUAAAGUUAUGAUUUAUAUUAUGUGUUUAAUGUUGGCAACCAUAUAAUGACCGAGAACAGCAUCACUGUAGGUUUACCACUGAACCUGACAAGCGAUUAUCAGUCUCACCAAACCACAAUUAACAACAACAUCUAAUCCCACUGAUGAUUUUGUUUUUAUUUAAAAGCUGCAAGGCAGGAAAUAUUCUGGGCUCUGCCAGAAGACUUCAUGUUUUAAUUAUGUCUUUCUGUAAACAUACACCUGAACCCUAAAUAUAAGUGACUGGAACUGAAUGAUACAAUAAUCUGUAGAAUUCAAAGUUCCAUACAAACAGUGAUGUUUAUAUGUGUGUGAAGUAGAAGUGGCCAGGAUCAAGCCUCGUAACACCAUACACUUGAAGUGGGUUGCACUGUAAAAAGAGUGACUGGGCUGAAUUAAUAUUCACAAAAUAAAUACUAGUAACCCAUAAAUGAAAAAACUGUGUGCAGUUUGGUAUAUUAUUAUGUUGAUUUAAUCAAAUUUGAAUUAUUUAUCAAUUUCCUAAUUUUUGUUUGAAUAAUAUCAGCUAAAAAUCACUGAGUAGAAUUUAAUUAUAUUUUAUCAGUAAAGUCAACAAUGUCGAAAAAUUAUUAAAUUCUACUUAUUGGGGGCUCUUUACUUUAACAUCGCCGUACACUUCCGCCCCGCCCAAAACGUUUGCGCCACACGGACGUUGAUGUCUGCCACAGCCGUAGUUGGACUGCUGUUUUCUCAAGAGCCUGAGGAUUAAAAAAACAAAUGUUAUGAUUACCAUCCAUUUCAUUCUAGGUGCAUGGAAAAUCUAUCAACAAUUCACCAAAAGAUCCAGGAUGAGUUUCACAGAAUCACAAUAGUGCACCUGGAAUCAAAGUUCAUGUCCAAGCUGGAUGAAUACUCUCGCCAGGCCUCUGAACCUCUUCCACUCAGAGGUUAGGGCAAUGGGAUUGAUGUUGCAGACUAUCCUACUGAAGGUAUCCUAACUUUGGGCAUAUUAUGUUUAAGGAUUUUGACUGUCUAUAAAAAUGUGUAUUAAAUAAGUGCAUAUCUUAUUGAAUACAGCAUUUGUAUACACUUAAUGGAUACCUGAUUAGAUAUUGUUUAGUCAGACAUUGUCAAAAAUGUGUCAGUUAGCUCAUGUAAAACAUAUAAAACAAAUAAAUAUAAAUGUGUGCUAUGUUUUUUACGUGUUACUCUGCUCUUACCAGUGUAUCUUCUGUAUAAAUGUACAUGUCUGACUUGUAAAGUACCAGCUGCCACUCACUCCUAUUUUCUAGCUGCUUACAUGUUAACAUUUUGGGAAAUAGCCAAUUUUUGCAAUCUCUCUAAGAUUUGCAUUUUUUAAAUGGUAUCACUUCUAUUCCUCUACUGUAAAUUUGAAGGUACAACCAGCAGUGUAUGUUCUCAUAAAAUGUAGAAACAGGGAAGCAGCUAGUGUGUUUAUUUAGGACCUUCUCCUUUAGCUGUACAGUCUGAAAUACUCAGUGUUGCACAGGAUCUUGCUGUACAAGGGAUGAAAAUCUACAGCAUCCAGACUAAUCUGUCAGAGGGUAUAGAAGACAUUGGAAUUGUGAUAGAGGGAACAAAGGUCCUAAGGUCAUAGGUCAUUCUGCACUUAGGAGAAACUUGUAGAUCUGUAUUUUUCCUUGUGAAUGUGACAUCACUUCAUUAUUAGUCUUGAUCAACAUACAUAAUAAACAGAUUGCCAGCAUACAUAUCCCUACACUUUACAAAAAAAAAUCUUUUUGAAAAAUGUUGGAAAUGUAUGUGUAAACAGAGUUGCACAAAUAAAUGUUUACCUGCUGUUUUCCUGA